UUUAUUUGUAUUUUUCUAGGAUGGCGGUGAAGGGACAGCUGAUGCAUGGUGGGAAGAGCUCAUCAACAGUGUAGAAAAUGAGUUUGGCGGCAAAAGACAAAGUUCUUCGAAGCAAUCAAGCCCAGGACUGCUUGGAGGAUUUUUGGGAGGCAGAAGAAAACAAAGUUCUUCAAAAGGAACACAAGGAUGGUGGAAUGAUUUUUGGGGAGGCACACCAUUUGGUUUGUUCGGCAGAAGGAAUACUGACGACUCCCCAAAUUGGAUGAAAAGAUUAAUGGAGAUGCCGAUGACUCUCUUAGAAAGAGUGAAAGAAGCAUUUUCUAGAAAGAAUUCUCAAAACGUGAGUACAAUGG